CGCCCUUUGGGUGCUCGAGGCAAGAGCAGGUCAGUAUGGCAGCAGUGGCGGAACAAAUGUGGUUGUCGUGGUAAGCUGAAGUCGUCGUCGUUUUGGCCUGGAUGAGAGGAAUGGGUCGGGCUAAGAACCAAUUGGACGACGUGGAACAACUUGACAGCUAUAGAGUACCGGUUGUCCAAUGUGCAGCACCCGAGGCAUGACACCACUAAAAGGUUCGUGGCCCACACCACAGAAAAACACAGAAUAGGAGCUGUGAGGAGACACUUACUGAGUGACUGUGUGUCGAGGACUGAUGAGAAAAAUGCGUUCUGUGCCUGUGACUGCACGAGCGAAACCCCAGAUGAGGUAGGGGGAAUGCUGCCCAUUGACUGCGGUGGGACAUGCUGCUGUGGUGACUGUUGCUGAAGGCUACUCUGUGGUCGCGAGACUGCCACGGGUCCGGCGGAGGAAGAUGGCUGGCUCGACUGACUUGCCAUGCUGCCAUUGGGGGAUGUGGGACCUGCACCAAUGCAACAGUACCACUGAUUAACUAGGUUUCUGCAAAAUUUAAUGCAUAAACAUUGAGUAAAUUCACUUAUUUGGAACCCACAAUGCAGUUUUUUGUAGCAUUCCACAUGUGGAUAGAAUGGAUUAACCACAUAAAGUGAACCUCAUACCUAAAUGCCCUCGAGGAUAAAGGGCAAUUCCAUUAAGAUAACCAGUGUUAGCACUUGCUCUCGAUCUGAAGUAGCCAAAUUCAGGUUUACAAAAUCGCUAAAACUAAAACAGACACGUAGCAAGGCAAACACAACUUUUGUUGCUGAUAGCACCCUUUUGCAGAAUGACGUCAUCUGUUAUGCAUCUUUUGCCACAAAGGCUGUGGUAAUUCUGAUGCUGGCUAAGCUAACUUACAAUGCACUGUAUUUACAGAAUAAAGAAUUCCAGCAACACGAA